rnacentral:ncRNA from 1 species
CUAAAAUCAAUGACGAGAAGAGUAAGAUAGGAAUCCUGUCCUAAAGAGAGUCGGUGUCUGGUGAAAGCCGAUGUUCAGGUCUUGUCCGAAUAUCAUCUCUGAGGUGCAAAGCUGAACAUUCGUAAGCUUUGACGGGUUGUCCGCCGUUACAAGGAACACGUAUGAUUGUACGUUGACUGAGAGCCGUAAGCUUGUUGGAAGCUGCGGAAUAAGGGUGGUAACGCGAGCACAAACUCGUCCCUGCA